rnacentral:rRNA from 1 species
AGUGAACGCUGGCGGUAGGCCUAACACAUGCAAGUCGAACGGCAGCACAGUAGGAGCUUGCUCUUACGGGUGGCGAGUGGCGGACGGGUGAGGAAUACAUCGGAAUCUACUUUUUCGUGGGGGAUAACGUAGGGAAACUUACGCUAAUACCGCAUACGACCUACGGGUGAAAGCAGGGGAUCUUCGGACCUUGCGCGAUUGAAUGAGCCGAUGUCGGAUUAGCUAGUUGGCGGGGUAAAGGCCCACCAAGGCGACGAUCCGUAGCUGGUCUGAGAGGAUGAUCAGCCACACUGGAACUGAGACACGGUCCAGACUCCUACGGGAGGCAGCAGUGGGGAAUAUUGGACAAUGGGCGCAAUCCUGAUCCAGCCAUACCGCGUGGGUGAAGAAGGCCUUCGGGUUGUAAAGCCCUUUUGUUGGGAAAGAAAAGCAGCAGGUUAAUACCCCGCUGUUCUGACGGUACCCAAAGAAUAAGCACCGGCUAACUUCGUG